GGAGAGGUGGCUGAGCGGCUGAAAGCGGCGGUCUCGAAAACCGUUUGUCCGGCAACCCCGGGCACGGGGGUUCAAAUCCCCCUCUCUCCGCCA
rnacentral:tRNA from 1 species